rnacentral:rRNA from 1 species
GACAGAGGAGCCAAGCGUUGUCCGGAUUGACUGGGCGUAAAGGGCGCGUAGGCGGUCAGCACAAGUCAGUUGUGAAAUCUCCGGGCUUAACUCGGAAAGGUCAACUGAUACUGUGCGACUAGAGUGCGGAAGGGGCAACUGGAAUUCUCGGUGUAGCGGUGAAAUGCGUAGAUAUCGAGAGGAACACCUGCGGCGAAGGCGGGUUGCUGGGCCGACACUGACGCUGAUGCGCGAAAGCCAGGGGAGCGAACGGG